GAUGAACGCUGGCGGCGUGCCUAACACAUGCAAGUCGAACGAAAAGACGAGGAGCUUGUUCUUUUGACGGUAGCGGCGGACGGGCGGGUAACACGUGGAUAAGCUUCUUAUAUUACUUGGAUGACUUCGGGAAACCGGAUAUAAUAAUGGAUAAUAUAAUUUACGGGUUGGUUCAAUAGUGAUUGACGGUUUUGCCGUCUCUUUUAGCCGGUUCCGUGCUGCAUUAGCUAGUUGGUAAGGUAACGGCUUACCAAGGCAACGAUGCGUAGCCGACCUGAGAGGAUGAUCGGCCACACUGGAACUGAGACACGGUCCAGACUCCUACGGGAGGCAGCAGUAGGGAAUCUUGCGCAAUGGGCGAAAGCCUGACGGAGCAACACCGCGUGGGUGAUGAAGGCCUUCGGAUCGUAAAGCCCUGUUAUUGGGGAAGAACAGAUGUGGAAGAAAACAUGGACGUCUUGACGGUACCUAAAGAAAAAGCAACGGCUAACUACGUG
rnacentral:rRNA from 1 species